rnacentral:rRNA from 1 species
GACGAACGCUGGCGGCGUGCUUAAUACAUGCAAGUCGAACGGAAAGGCCCUGCUCUUGUUCGGUGCUCGUGUGGCGCACGGGUGUGUAAAACGUGUGUAACCCCCCCCUGACUUUCUGGUAUCUUCAGGGAACUGGGGCUAAUAUCAGAUAGGAGCUCCUGCUGCAUGGUGGGGGUUGGAAGGUUUCGGCGGUUGGGGAUGGACUGGCGGCUUAUCAGCUUGUUGGUGGGGUAGUGGCUUACCAAGGCUUUGACGGGUAGGCGGCCUGGGCGGGUUAACGGGCACAUGGGGACUAAGAGACGGAGCAGACGCCUAUGGUAGGCAGCAGGGGAGAAUAUGGCGCAGUGAGGGGGAGCCUGAGGCAGCAGCGUCGGGAGCGGGAUGACGGGCUACGGGGGAUAAACCGCUUUCGCCUGUGACGAAGCGUGAGUGACGGUAAUGAGUAAGAAAGCACCGGCUAACUACGUG